rnacentral:rRNA from 1 species
AUUGAACGCUGGCGGCAUGCCUAACACAUGCAAGUCGAACGGCAGCACGGCAGUAGCAAUACUGUGGGUGGCGAGUGGCGGACGGGUGAGGAAUACGUCGGAAUCUGCCCAGUCGUGGGGGAUAACUAGCCGAAAGGUUAGCUAAUACCGCAUACGACCGAGAGGUGAAAGCGGGGGACCGCAAGGCCUCGCGCGAUUGGAUGAGCCGACGUCGGAUUAGCUAGUUGGUGGGGUAAAGGCCCACCAAGGCGACGAUCCGUAGCUGGUCUGAGAGGAUGAUCAGCCACACUGGAACUGAGACACGGUCCAGACUCCUACGGGAGGCAGCAGUGGGGAAUAUUGGACAAUGGGCGCAAGCCUGAUCCAGCAAUGCCGCGUGUGUG